GUCCAGCUCUUCCCUUGGGUGGCCGUACCCAUUGGGAACUAUAUUUAUAUAGUUCUCACCCCCGUAUUGUUUUUGGGGGUACAGGUUUGCACGUGAGCGGCGCGGUGGCGCGAAGACAGGGCGUAGUUCCGUAGAUAGCGCCCUACCACCGAGACGAGAGAUAGCAGUAUCCUGAAGUGGUCUAGCUCAGAGUAUAAGAAUGAAAGGAACAAACUUGUAGCAAAUUUGUAUAAGUUGUAAUAACUUAAAAGGUAUUUGUAAUAUUGUAAAUGUAAAAUCGGGAAGAUGAAUGUGUGUAAUAGCAUAGUUAGCAUUUUAUGUUUUUGAUACUUAUGCAAUAUGUGAUUGAAUACAAAUCCUGGUUGGAACCUCUUGUAUUGCAUUGUAUAAAUUGUGACGCCUAGAACGUACAGGGAAGGCUAUGUCCGUUCGGCGGUCUGUCGCGUGUCCAAAUCUAACCAAAUUGGCGGAGCUCGGGCGUGACAACCGGUCCCCGAGAGCAACUCCCUAAUAUCACGCGUACAGGAACCGGUCCCCUCCCAGAGGGACCGGUCCCCGAGAGGGGUUUCCGAAAACAUGCUUACGAGAACCGGUCCCCUCCCAGAAGGACCGGUCCCAGAGAGCAUGAAACCUGCACUUGUGCAGAUUUCACAUGAUUGCUCUCGUGGGUCCGUUCUAAUGCACUUUUUGCAUUCUAAUCACCUUCGGACUUUCCGAAGCCUACACAUUCGAUAAUUAGUCGAUUCUAAAUGAAGUUUAAUCCUCGAAUUUCGAGAAUUCACUCCUUUACAGUAGUGCUCUUGGGGACUGGUCCCUGACGGGAGAGACCGGUCCCCGUACGCGUGAAGGCUGGCAGAGAGCCUUCCUCCCGCAUGGGCUACUCUCGGGGACCGGUCCUCCCGUAGAGAGAGAUCGGUCCCUCCGCGCGAAAUUGCCCAAGUAGACUGGGUUGAGAGGAGCAAAAGUGGAAGGGCUAAACUGAAAAUGUCACAUUGGUUAGGGGUAUGGAGAGGAUUAAACACCCUCUCCCUCUCUCAUUUCUCCUUCCCCCCUCACAUUCCCUCUCUCUCUCUCUAGAAAGAAAAGAAGGAGAAGAAAGAAAACAGAAGAAGAAGAAGGUGGAGAGCUUGGAGAAAAUCAUCUCCACCACCUUCUUCUCUCACUCUUCAUCCCUUUGGAGUAGCUCAAGAGGUAAGCUACUAAACCCUAACAUGUAUGUCACGCCCUGGGACCGGCGGAGGCCCUCCCGGUAGCGCGCCCAGACCCGCCAUAUGUCUGCACAUAUAAGGCGUCUACAAUAAAAGCGAAAGUAAAGCAAGAAACAUAGCCGAAAGGAAAGAGCAACGACUAAUGAUAUCAGAGCAGUAUGAUUCUACUUUCUAUAACAAAAGAAAAAGGAUACAACUAAACCAUAAAAAUAAACCAUAAAGUAGUACAAUAAAGGUCUCAAAGGUACAAAAAUGGGUGGUCUCUAGUACAAUGGUGAAACUCUCAACCUCUCACAAAAAGAAAAACACGAGAGGUAGACCACCUAUCGAACGAUCCCUCGGCGAGCACGCUAGCCCGAGGCGAUACCCUUUCCGCGAUCCCUGGCCUCCCCCUGCGCGGAAGGCUCUGAAAAACAUCGAGAAAAAGAGGGCGUGAGAACUAUAAUUUAUAGUUCCCAGUGGGCAAUUACUGACCGCAGCUCUAUGCACCACUAGGCUCCAAAAGAAAAGGGUAAGUCCAAAAGCAAGUAAUAAUAAUAACAAGAAUAUUAAUUGCGAUAUGAUAGCAUAAUUGAAAUGCUAACUACUAUGUCUCAAGUAAGCAAGAUGUACGUUUACUCUAUCAUGAGAAAGUAUGUCCAAAGGCAACGGGUAAAUGUCACGAUCCAAUAUGUCAUUACAUAACGAUUAAGCUCUAGCAAGUAACCGAGUAUACUAUGGUGCGAUAAAUCAAUCAAGCAAGUAUACUACAAGUACCAAUGCUAGGUCAUAAGCAUGUAAAUGUAAUCCAACUACUAAGCCUAUCUAGUAGUGAUUAUCCAAUCCCGGUGUAACAUACUAGAUUUUGGUAUAAAAAUAAAAAUAAAUAAAAAUAGUGUGAGAAACUAUUUUUAUUGGAUUUAUAGAAGUAAAACAUAAGUCAGAAGUGACUUGUGCUGAAAUCGGAAUGAAAACAGAAGAUCUAGAAUUUUCUGUUGAAAACGGGACAGAUAAAUUAGCAGAAAAUGCACAGUCUCAGAAAAUUAUGAAAAUUGGAGGAUAAGUCAGAAAUAUUUUUAUGAGGCUAAAUUUAAAGUUUCAUAUUUUUCUGACACCUGUAGAGUGAGAAAUAAAAUUCGAGAGUUGGUCAGUAUGAGCCGCUUCUGGAAUCACGAUACUGUGAAGCCGCUUUGGAGUGGAAAAGUCAGUUGGUACUCUCAAUUGCUCGCAGAGCUGAAUUGAGGCGUAGUUUGAAUUUCGCAGACAAAAUUCUUUUUAAGGGGUGGAGACUGUAAUAUACUAGAUUUUGGUAGAAAAAAUAAAAAUAAAUAAAAAUAGUGUGGGAUACUAUUUUUAUUGGAUUUAGAGAAGUAAAACAUAAGUCAGAAUUGAUUUGUGCUGAAAUCGGAAUGAAAACAGAAGAUUUAGAAUUUUCUGUUGGAAACGAGACAGAUAAAUUAGCAAAAAAUGCACAGUCUCAGAAAAUUAUGAAAAUUGGAGAAUAAGUCAGAAAUAUUUUUAUGAGGCUAUAUUUAAAGUUUCAUAUUUUUCCGACACCCGAAAGUCGAGAAAUAAAAUCUGAAAGCUAUCUGAUAAAGAUUAUAGUUCGGUACAGUUUUCGGUGACCAAAUGGGGUCGAAACUGAAAACUUAAAAUAUAUUCUUACUCAGUACGUUAAACUGAGCUUGCCUGUCAAAUUUGAGCUAAAACGGACAUUCAGAAGGGCUCAAACUGUUCCGAACUGCUAAAAUUGCCUGAAGUGAAUAGUGCCUUGGGGUGCAUUAUAAAGAAGCUGAUGCUUCUUCUUCCUCUCCUUCAGCCCGAGCACACACACACGCACGCAUGGUGCUAGUGAGAGAAACCUUCAUUCCUCUCUCUAGAUUUCUCUCUCAUCUCUCCAUAUCUCUCGCUCAAAUUCGCGGCGUUGGUGGAGAAGAUGCUCGCGAACGCGUUGGGAGUGACGGAUCGAGCUUUCGUGCGCCCGUUACAGCGGCGUGUUUUCGUUGCGGCGUUCACGUUGUGGUAAGCUUUUGGGAUUUGGCUUAAUCCUUAGCUUUAAGUGUUCUAAUAGUCUCUAAUGAGCAUUAUUAGCAUGUUGCUCCAUUUAAUUUGGAUUAUUUGGAGGUUCAAUGCAUCUAGGGCUCAAAAAUGGGGUUUUGUAAAUAUGAGGGUUUGAUCUCAUUUGACCCUCUAUAAACCUAAUUGCUAGGUAAACGAACGCGUUGGCGAAGUCGGUUCGCUGAUUCGUCGAGCCGUUGCGAAGUUAUUAAAGAAACGGACGUUUAGGCUUCGUUUUCGCCUGGAGGGCCGAGGCGACAUCGUAAACCCAUGAAAACGGAUUUGAAGCAUCGUGGCACAUAACCGAAGAACUUUAAUUUCCGGAUCGUGAAUUGGAGGCCGUUCGGGUGGUUGCGCGAGAGAUCGGGCCAAACCGGGUGCCGGAUGCCGCGGGAGGCCGAUUGCAAGUGUCGACAAGCAAUCGGAAUGCGAAAUGAGGUGGGUUGUGCUUACCGAAGCGACUAGGUCGCCUUUAUGUCUAAGAGAAAUGAGAUUUCAUAUUGAUGCAUGUUGACAUAUAAUGUGAAAUGCUAGAGGAAUGCAUUUGACAUAAUGUAAGAAUGUGAAAAGAAUGCAUGUUAACAUAUUAUAGAAAUGCUAGAUAAAUGCAUGUGAUUAAUGCUUUGAAUGCAUAAGAUAAAGGGCAUAUGAAUGUUAACAUUAUAAGAACAUGAUAAGAGGAAUGCAUGAUGACUUAGUGUAAAUAGUGCUAGAUGAAUGCAUUGAGUAAUGCUAAAGUUUACAUGAUAAGCAUGCAUGUGGAUAAUGCUAAGUAAUGGUAUGAUAAGCAUGAUGUAGAAAUAAUAAAUGCAAGCAUGUGGCUAAUACUAAGAUAUACUUGAUGAUCAUGUUGUAGAGAUACUAAUGUUAAGAAAUGAAAAUGUGCAUAUGGACAAUCUAUAUACAUUAGAUCGAGUGGCAUUAAACCUAGAGUCAUGGACAUAGGUUGAACAUGGAGGAUAUGAACCUAGUGUCAAAGAACAUAGGUUGAACAAGUAUAGUGUGAACCUAGUGUCAUGAACCUAGCAAACACUUGUGGCAUUUGAGCAUAUAUAUUUGUAUCAUUCAUACAUAAUAGGACUAAGUACAUGUGAAUCUUGGUUGCUUUCAAUGACAUGUUUCUAACGUAGUUGAACAUAGAGAAAGGUAGAACCAUAAUGGACAUGUAUGUUAGGACCCUAUUAUUGUGUGAAUGUGAGAGUUGGACUUGGACAUAGUAAACAAAGGUGACAUUGACAAUAGAGACAUUGAUUGGCAUAGAGAACAUAGUUGUUAAACAUAGUUUAACCAAGAGUGGCAUUGGACCAAGAUGACAUAGGGAGUGGCAUGAUUAAAUAGGUAGAAAACCUAUUAUGACAAUGGCAUUGUGACAAGUGGCUAUGAAUCCUCAAGUUGAGGAUUGGAUCGAUACUCACGAUAAGUCUUGGCUUGAGGGAGGUAGCUCCCCCUCGGGCGGUGCGCUCCGGAGUUGGUCACCACUGGGCGUGGUAAAGUCCCCCCAGAAGACGGUCCCUAGGGAGGUUCGAGUCCCCCGCUAUUAAGGGAUUUUGGGUUGUGAGUUAUUGGGGUUAACAUGGUUAACCGGUAAGAUUGGGUCAAAGCCAAGUGAAUGUACAGCAUUAUGUGUUACGGGUUUGGUAUCCCAGUUGAGAGGAUUUAGGGCUGAGGUGUAUGUGAGACGUCCAUCACCUCGAGCCUAGUUUUGGUGCGGUAUUCCGCAGUUGAUUGACUCGAGACCGAGUCGGGUGGUUAGCUUGGCUAGGGUAGAGGAAAACCUUAGGAGCAAAUAACCAAUGAUGUAAAGUGAUAAGAUGUAUAAAUUAUGAAAAAGCUAUGGAUAGCAUGAUACAAAGUAAAAUCAUUUAUUCUACUUGUAUAGUUGCAUGAUUCGCAUAUAGCAUGGCAUUAUUGUAUUCGUGAGGCAAAGCAUGGUUUUAUUAGUUGCAUAAUAAAGAUAUAUAUCUAUCUGUUUAUUGAAUUAACUUGCAGUUGCCUACCUUGGACCUAUUGGUCGAGCUUUUCUCUUGGGUGGCCGUACCCACUGGGAACCAUGGAGUUGGUUCUCACCCC
rnacentral:lncRNA from 1 species